UUAAGCAUAUCAAUAAGCGGAGGAAAAGAAACUAACAAGGAUUCCCCUAGUAACUGCGAGUGAAGCGGGAAAAGCUCAAAUUUAAAAUCUGGCAGUCUUUGGCUGUCCGAGUUGUAAUCUAGAGAAGUAUUAUCCGCGCUGGACCGUGUACAAGUCUCCUGGAAUGGAGCGUCAUAGAGGGUGAGAAUCCCGUCUUUGACACGGACUGCCAGGGCUUUGUGAUAUGCUCUCAAAGAGUCGAGUUGUUUGGGAAUGCAGCUCAAAAUGGGUGGUAAAUUCCAUCUAAAGCUAAAUAUUGGCGAGAGACCGAUAGCGAACAAGUACCGUGAGGGAAAGAUGAAAAGAACUUUGGAAAGAGAGUUAAACAGUACGUGAAAUUGCUGAAAGGGAAACGCUUGAAGUCAGUCGCGUUGGCCAGGGAUCAACCUUGCUUUUUUGCUUGGCUUACUUUCUGGUYGAUGGGUCAGCAUCAAUUUUGACCGGUGGAAAAAGUUCAAAGGAAUGUGGCAUCUUCGGAUGUGUUAUAGCCUUUGUUCACAUACAUUGGUUGGGAUUGAGGAACUCAGCACGCCGCAAGGCCGGGUUUUUAACCACGUACGUGCUUAGGAUGCUGGCAUAAUGGCUUUAAUCGACCCGUCUUGAAACACGGACCAAGGAGUCUAACAUGCCUGCGAGUAUUUGGGUGAAAAACCCGAGUGCGUAAUGAAAGUGAAAGUUGAGAUCCCUGUCGUGGGGAGCAUUGACGCCCGGAUCUGACCUUUUGUGACGAUUCUGCGGUAGAGCAUGUAUGUUGGGACCCGAAAGAUGGUGAACUAUGCCUGAAUAGGGUGAAGCCAGAGGAAACUCUGGUGGAGGCUCGUAGCGAUUCUGACGUGCAAAUCGAUCGUCAAUUUGGGUAUAGGGGCGAAAGAC
rnacentral:rRNA from 1 species